rnacentral:rRNA from 1 species
CAGUAUCUUUAUCUGAAUACAUAGGAUAUUGAAGGCAGACCCGGGGAACUGAAACAUCUAAGUACCCGGAGGAAGAGAAAGCAAAUGCGAUUUCCUGAGUAGCGGCGAGCGAAACGGAAUUAGCCCAAACCAAGAGGCUUGCCUCUUGGGGUUGUAGGACACUCUAUACGGAGUUACAAAGGAACGAAGUAAAUGAAGCGACCUGGAAAGGUCCGUCGAAGAAGGUAACAACCCUGUAGUUGAAACUUCGUUCCCUCUUGAGUGGAUCCUGAGUACGGCGGAACACGUGAAAUUCCGUCGGAAGCUGGGAGGACCAUCUCCCAAGGCUAAAUACUACCUAGUGACCGAUAGUGAACCAGUACCGUGAGGGAAAGGUGAAAAGCACCCCGGAAGGGGAGUGAAAGAGAUCCUGAAACCGUGUGCCUACAAGUAGUCAGAGCCCGUUAACGGGUGAUGGCGUGCCUUUUGUAGAAUGAACCGGCGAGUUACGAUCCCAUGCAAGGUUAAGCUGAUAAGGCGGAGCCGUAGCGAAAGCGAGUCUGAAUAGGGCGUUUAGUAUGUGGUUGUAGACCCGAAACCAGGUGAUCUACCCAUGUCCAGGGUGAAGUUCAGGUAACACUGAAUGGAGGCCCGAACCCACGCACGUUGAAAAGUGCGGGGAUGAGGUGUGGGUAGCGGAGAAAUNCAACGGGUUACCGAAUUCAGUCAAACUCCGAAUGCCAAAGACUUAUCCAUGGGAGUCAGACUGCGAGUGAUAAGAUCCGUAGUCAAAAGGGAAACAGCCCAGACCACCAGCUAAGGUCCCCAAGUAUACGUUAAGUGGAAAAGGAUGUGGAGUUGCUUAGACAACCAGGAUGUUGGCUUAGAAGCAGCCACCAUUUAAAGAGUGCGUAAUAGCUCACUGGUCGANGAAGUCAGACCGUAAGGACUGGUGGAGCGCUUAGAAGUGAGAAUGCCGGUAUGAGUAGCGAAAGACAAGUGAGAAUCUUGUCCACCGAAUGCCUAAGGUUUCCUGAGGAAGGCUCGUCCGCUCAGGGUUANNNNNNNNNNNNNNNNNNNNNNNNNNNNNNNNNNNNNNNNNNNNNNNNNNNNNNNNNNNNNNNNNNNNNNNNNNNNNNNNNNNNNNNNNNNNNNNGCUGGAUAUGCGCGUUCAAGCAGUUAGGCUGAUGAGUAGGCAAAUCCGCUCAUCAUAAAGGCUGAGCUGUGAUGACGAGGNGCCCGUACCGCAAACCGACACAGGUAGGCGAGGAGAGAAUCCUAAGGUGAUCGAGAGAACUCUCGUUAAGGAACUCGGCAAAAUGACCCCGUAACUUCGGGAGAAGGGGUGCUCUGGUAGGGUGUAUAGCCCGAGAGAGCCGCAGUGAAUAGGCCCAGGCGACUGUUUAGCAAAAACACAGGUCUCUGCGAAGCCGCAAGGCGAAGUAUAGGGGCUGACGCCUGCCCGGUGCUGGAAGGUUAAGAGGAGGGGUUAUCCUUUGGGAGAAGCUCUGAAUCGAAGCCCCAGUAAACGGCGGCCGUAACUAUAACGGUCCUAAGGUAGCGAAAUUCCUUGUCGGGUAAGUUCCGACCCGCACGAAAGGCGUAACGAUCUGGGCACUGUCUCAACGAGAGACUCGGUGAAAUUAUAGUACCUGUGAAGAUGCAGGUUACCCGCGACAGGACGGAAAGACCCCGUGGAGCUUUACUGUAGCCUGAUAUUGAAUUUUGGUACAGCUUGUACAGGAUAGGUAGGAGCCUGAGAAGCCGGAGCGCUAGCUUCGGUGGAGGCGUCGGUGGGAUACUACCCUGGCUGUAUUGAAAUUCUAACCCGCGGCCCUGAUCGGGCCGGGAGACAGUGUCAGGUGGGCAGUUUGACUGGGGCGGUCGCCUCCUAAAAUGUAACGGAGGCGCCCAAAGGUUCCCUCAGAAUGGUUGGAAAUCAUUCGUAGAGUGUAAAGGCACAAGGGAGCUUGACUGCGAGACCUACAAGUCGAGCAGGGACGAAAGUCGGGCUUAGUGAUCCGGUGGUUCCGCAUGGAAGGGCCAUCGCUCAACGGAUAAAAGCUACCCCGGGGAUAACAGGCUUAUCUCCCCCAAGAGUCCACAUCGACGGGGAGGUUUGGCACCUCGAUGUCGGCUCAUCGCAUCCUGGGGCUGUAGUCGGUCCCAAGGGUUGGGCUGUUCGCCCAUUAAAGCGGUACGCGAGCUGGGUUCAGAACGUCGUGAGACAGUUCGGUCCCUAUCCGUCGUGGGCGUAGGAAAUUUGAGAGGAGCUGUCCUUAGUACGAGAGGACCGGGAUGGACACACCGCUGGUGUACCAGUUGUCUUGCCAAAGGCAUCGCUGGGUAGCUAUGUGUGGACGGGAUAAGUGCUGAAAGCAUCUAAGCAUGAAGCCCCCCUCAAGAUGAGAUUUCCCAUAGCGCAAGCUAGUAAGAUCCCUGAAAGAUGAUCAGGUUGAUAGGUCAGAGGUGGAAGCGUGGCGACAUGUGUAGCUGACUGAUACUAAUCGAUCGAGGACUUAACCAAAA